GAAGUAAAAGUCGUAACAAGGUUUCCGUAGGUGAACCUGCGGAAGGAUCAUUCUUGAUUUGGCCGAGAGGCUAUUCAAUUACCCAAACACACCUGUGAACCGUCGGUCUCCGGACCGUUUUUACACCUAUUAAACAAGUAGUCCAGAACGUGAAAACAUAAAUAACAUAAUAAAACUUUCAACAACGGAUCUCUUGGCUCUCGCAUCGAUGAAGAACGCAGCGAAUUGCGAUAAGUAAUGUGAAUUGCAGAAUUUCAGUGAAUCAUCGAAUCUUUGAACGCACCUUGCGCCCGUUGGUAUUCCGACGGGCAUGCCUGUUUGAGUGUCAUGAAUUAUCAAUCCCUCGGGUUUUGUAACGAAACCCGUUGGACUUGGACUUGGGUGUCUGCCGGGUUUAAACCGGCUCGCCUUAAAUGUGACAGGUGGUCGGCUCUUGACCCAGUGAUCAGCGUGAUAAGUCGUCGCUGGUUCCGUGGUCUUGAGCCCUGCCUCAUAAACCGUUCCUUUUUGGACAAAUUCAUUCGAUCUGACCUCAAAUCAGGUAGGACUACCCGCUGAACUUAAGCAUAUC
rnacentral:rRNA from 1 species